AGAGUUAUAAGCAAUGCCUUGAAAGUUUAGAAUUUGAACUAAUCCUAUUCAAAUCUAGAGUAUCAGACGCUGUCUUGAUCAGAGGCUCAGGCUUGAUCUUAUAAAUGAAAGGCCAUUAUAAAUAGGCAAUUAUAAAGAACACUGGUUUACAGUUUCCUGGAUUUUCUCUUUACAAGUCCAGAAUUAGCAUGAAACAAAUACCUUGCACUUGGGAGCUAUUCUAUAUUUGUUGUUCAGGGCGAUCUUACAGAUUGUGAAGUUGAUGAACUCCUCCAGACAAUCAGGGUCCAACAGAAGCACUGACUUAAACUUAUCAGAGAAGAAUUAGCACAGCUAAAAAAUCAGAUAUUGAGUGAAUCUUAGUAAGAAUUGAUGAAUCAAGAGCACUCAAUGAAGAAGGAAAGAUUUGCAGAGAGCUAUGACAGUAAGUCACCAAGAAAUUGACAUGGAAGAUGAAGAAGCAGGUCUCCAUGAGGGUAUUUAGCUCAGUAUGCAAGAUAGUUUCAGAAUAUAUUUCAAGAUAGUUUCAGAAUAUGUUUCAAGAUACUCCACAGACAUCAGGUAUAAAUAUUAUUUCAGAAGAGCUACAGAAGAGAAGAGAAGCCUACUUAGAA
rnacentral:lncRNA from 1 species